AUGUACCCAGAUGUUAUUGUUCUGUAUAAACAGCCUCUAAGAUACAGGAUGUACCCAGAUGUUAUUGUUCUGUAUAAACAGCCUCUAAGAUACAGGAUGUACCCAGAUGUUAUUGUUCUGUAUAAACAGCCUCUAAGAUACAGGAUGUACCCAGAUGCUAUUGUUCUGUAUAAACAGCCUCUAAGAUACAGGAUGUACCCAGAUGUUAUUGUUCUGUAUAAACAGCCUCUAAGAUACAGGAUGUACCCAGAUGUUAUUGUUCUGUAUAAACAGCCUCUAAGAUACAGGAUGUACCCAGAUGUUAUUGUUCUGUAUAAACAGCCUCUAAGAUACAGGAUGUACCCAGAUGUUAUUGUUCUGUAUAAACAGCCUCUAAGAUACAGGAUGUACCCAGAUGUUAUUGUUCUGUAUAAACAGCCUCUAAGAUACAGGAUGUACCCAGAUGUUAUUGUUCUGUAUAAACAGCCUCUAAGAUACAGGAUGUACCCAGAUGUUAUUGUUCUGUAUAAACAGCCUCUAAGAUACAGGAUGUACCCAGAUGUUAUUGUUCUGUAUAAACAGCCUCUAAGAUACAGGAUGUACCCAGAUGUUAUUGUUCUGUAUAAACAGCCUCUAAGAUACAGGAUGUACCCAGAUGUUAUUGUUCUGUAUAAACAGCCUCUAAGAUACAGGAUGUACCCAGAUGUUAUUGUUCUGUAUAAACAGCCUCUAAGAUACAGGAUGUACCCAGAUGUUAUUGUUCUGUAUAAACAGCCUCUAAGAUACAGGAUGUACCCAGAUGUUAUUGUUCUGUAUAAACAGCCUCUAAGAUACAGGAUGUACCCAGAUGUUAUUGUUCUGUAUAAACAGCCUCUAAGAUACAGGAUGUACCCAGAUGUUAUUGUUCUGUAUAAACAGCCUCUAAGAUACAGGAUGUACCCAGAUGUUAUUGUUCUGUAUAAACAGCCUCUAAGAUACAGGAUGUACCCAGAUGUUAUUGUUCUGUAUAAACAGCCUCUAAGAUACAGGAUGUACCCAGAUGUUAUUGUUCUGUAUAAACAGCCUCUAAGAUACAGGAUGUACCCAGAACAUAAGUGUCAGCUUUUUAUAUAUAUAUACAUACAAUAUCAAUACUUGUUUCAUUUACAACUUUUCUAA
rnacentral:lncRNA from 1 species